UGGGGUGUAGCUCAGUGGUAGAGCACUUGAAUAUGUGAGGCUCUAGGUUCAAUUCCCUGCACAGCAA
rnacentral:tRNA from 1 species